UUGCGUUCAAGCCGUGAAAGUAGCCACAAAUGUUUGCAUUAUUGUAAGCAGUCUACAUCACCCUUCAGGCGCAGCCCUUCCCCCGGACUUUGCGUGAAUGCGAAAUGCUUUGUGCACCGAAUUACCUUUAUAUCCUUUAGGAUUUCUGGUCCAAAAAAGGGAAAACUAGAGGUUGUUCUAAAGAACGAUGCGCUAAGCUCCUGCUAUGCGCUGAGUCCGUGGAAGGGCCAGACCAAAAGAGUUUAUUGUACACGGCCUUCGCUACCUUUCUGCAAGAGGUUGUUCCCAUAACUCGAACCAUGACCUCCUGGUCACACUGCAACAAUUUUACCAGUUAUGUCAAGGUUCCUCUUCAGAGGUUGUUCUAGUUAUGACAUUUGAAAGGUAUUCAUAGUAAAGCUAUAUGUUAGUUAUGAAUUAAUCACUUCGAACAUUGAUCACCUGCAGAUAUUUCUUUAGAAAUGGAAAGUUCUAAUUGAUCAUCAAGCUUGAAAAAAUUCUCCUUUUCAAACAAGAUGUUGAUC
rnacentral:lncRNA from 1 species